UACGUAGGAUGCAAGCGUUGUCCGGAUUUACUGGGCGUAAAGCGUGCGCAGGCGGUUGUGCAAGACAGAUGUGAAAUCCCCGGGCUCAACCUGGGAACUGCAUUUGUGACUGCACGGCUGGAGUGCGGCAGAGGGGGAUGGAAUUCCGCGUGUAGCAGUGAAAUGCGUAGAUAUGCGGAGGAACACCGAUGGCGAAGGCAAUCCCCUGGGCCUGCACUGACGCUCAUGCACGAAAGCGUGGGAGCAAACAGG
rnacentral:rRNA from 1 species